rnacentral:rRNA from 1 species
UACGAAGGGUGCAAGCGUUACUCGGAAUUACUGGGCGUAAAGCGUGCGUAGGUGGUUUGUUAAGUCUGAUGUGAAAGCCCUGGGCUCAACCUGGGAAUUGCAUUGGAUACUGGCAGGCUAGAGUGCGGUAGAGGAUGGCGGAAUUCCCGGUGUAGCAGUGAAAUGCGUAGAGAUCGGGAGGAACAUCUGUGGCGAAGGCGGCCAUCUGGACCAGCACUGACACUGAGGCACGAAAGCGUGGGGAGCAACAGGAUAGAAAC